rnacentral:lncRNA from 1 species
AAGGAAUGCAGCCCAUGGAACAUGUUCCCCAAGAGGAAAGGGAAAAAGUGGGGCAGCAGAGAUGGAGGGACCUGGGGCUGUUGUAUGAGAGGAUCAGCAAGCUGAAGGAUCGUCUGGAAAGGAAGGAGGAAAGGCUGCGAGAGUAUGAGACCAGCAUUGAGCAGCUCAGGCUGAACCAAGAGUCCCUGCAAACGUGCCAGGAAGAGAUGCUGAGACUGGAAGAUGAAGUCUACAGGGAAGCAGAAGAGAAAGCUCUGCUGAGAGAGGCUCUGGAGAGGACGAGGGCAGAGCUGGGCCAGGAGAAGAGGCUGAACCGGGCAGCACGGCAGCGCAAGAGCCUUGCAGAGAAUGGGGAGAAGAGAAAGGAGAAGGAGCUGCCCAACCGUGCCUGCUCUUCCAAAGAACGAGGAGGGAAGGUAUGGCAUGCUGGUACACACUGAAAG